ensembl:snRNA U6 U6 spliceosomal RNA
GUGCUCACUUCAGCACAUACACUAAAAAUUGGAAUAAUACAGAGAAGAUUAACAUGUCUCCUGCACAAGAAUGACACAAAAAUUUGUGAAGCAUUCAUAUUUUUU